rnacentral:ncRNA from 1 species
GACGACCGGCUGGACAUCUGUAUGUCCGGCCCACAAGUGGAGGCUCCGAUCUCCCACCUGACCGCCCUUACCGGGCGGCGGGUCACCGGUCAGGUGGCGCCCAUCGUUCCGUACGGACGAUGGAGCCGCCCGAUACGCCCCGCGGUAGACGCGGCGGUGUUCCGGUAUUCACGGAGCUGCCGCCUGUGUCCCGUCCGGGGCAUUUUUG